AUGACCCGAGUGAAGAGUAGCUACUACGUACUGCCUGGAGAAGAAGAACCAAACCGAACUAUGCACAAUACUCAUAGCAUUGGGACGGUAAUGUUUCUAACAGAUGUAGCCAAACCUCGCUACAAUGAAGAUGGGGAGAUGAUAUUUGAUGGGAAACUUGGCAUUUGGCCGUUCGUGGUACAGACCGAGGCAUGACGAACAAGCCAGAAUAGAGAUAGAGGGACAAUAGAGUUGAAGCCGGUCAAAGUUACUAGACCUGUGUGCAGAGAUUACUUGAUCAAUAAAGUAAUCCCUGCCAUUCAAGACAAAUGGCCGGACGGUGACGAUGACACAACGAUCUUUGUUCAACAAGAUAAUGCAACACCACAUGUCCUCCCUAAUGAUGCUGGUUUUCUAGAAGCCGUGGCACAGACAGAUCUGGAUAUUCGAUUAUUGCAACAACCACCAAACAGCCCUGAGCUCAAUGUUCUGGAUCUUUGUUUCCACUGCUCCCUCCAAUCCCUAACCGACUACAGAGCACCUAUGAAUAUACAGGAACUAGUACAGGGUGUAGAGGAGGAGUUUGAGAACUACGAUCCCCAUAAGCUAUUCAAAAGCUUUAUGACGUUGCAAUCAGUCAUGGUGGAAGUGAUGAAAGAUCAAGGAGGAAACAACUAUAAGCUGCCGCAUCUACACAAGGACCAUCUACAAAUGCUGGAGAGGAAAUAA
rnacentral:rRNA from 1 species